UACGUAGGUGGCGAGCGUUGUCCGGAUUUACUGGGCGUAAAGGAUGCGUAGGCGGAUAUUUAAGUGAGAUGUGAAAUACCCGAGCUUAACUUGGGUGCUGCAUUUCAAACUGGAUAUCUAGAGUGUGGGAGAGGAGAAUGGAAUUCCUAGUGUAGCGGUGAAAUGCGUAGAGAUUAGGAAGAACACCAGUGGCGAAGGCGAUUCUCUGGACCAUAACUGACGCUGAGGUGCGAAAGCGUGGGGAGCAAACAGG
rnacentral:rRNA from 1 species